rnacentral:tRNA from 3 species
GGGACUAUAGUUAAUAAUAACAUUUGAGUUGCAUUCAAAAAGUACUACCUUUAAGUAGUUAGCCUCA